rnacentral:rRNA from 1 species
GACGAACGCUGGCGGCGUGCUUAACACAUGCAAGUCGAACGCUGAACCCGCUUCGGUGGGGGAUGAGUGGUGCACGGGUGCGUAACACGUGGGCAACCUGCCCCCGGCUCUGGGAUAACUCCAAGAAAUUGGGGCUAAUACCGGAUGUGACCGCUGGCCGCAUGGUCUGGUGGUGGAAAGGGUUUCCGGCUGGGGAUGGGCCCGCGGCCUAUCAGCUUGUUGGUGGGGUAGUGGCCUACCAAGGCGACGACGGGUAGCCGGCCUGAGAGGGUGACCGGCCACACUGGGACUGAGACACGGCCCAGACUCCUACGGGAGGCAGCAGUGGGGAAUAUUGCGCAAUGGGCGGAAGCCUGACGCAGCGACGCCGCGUGGGGGAUGACGGCCUUCGGGUUGUAAACCUCUUUCAGCAGGGACGAAGCGCAAGUGACGGUACCUGCAGAAGAAGCACCGGCCAACUACGUG